AGGCUGCGGUGAGCCAAGAUGGCACCACUGCACUCCAGCCCAGGUGACAACGAAAACUUGUCUCAAAAAAAAGUGUCCUGGAGACUCGCAGUUGAGUUUGAUGCACCCUCAUCCACUCAUUCACUCACUCACUCAUUCAUUCACUCAUUCACUCACUCAUUCACUCACUCAUUCACUCAUUCACUCAUUCACUCACUCAUUCAUUCACUCACUCAUUCACUCACUCACUCAUUCACUCAUUCACUCAUUCACUCACUCACUCAUUCAUUCACUCACUCAUUCACUCACUCACUCAUUCUGGGACCAGAUGGCUAAGCCCCUUGGCAGGGCCCAGCUGGGGUUGGGGCCUGUGGAGCAGGUGAGAGGAGCCCACUCCAACAGGGCUUUUAGGAGUUUAGGGAGAGAAAGGAGCCCGUUCCCGGCAGAGGGGCCUGCAGAGAUCAGGACAGGAUGUUUUGGUCACGGGGCAGGUGGAGGCCAGGACCCACCCUUCUUUUCCUAAGGGGGUCCCUCAUGUAGGAAGUUUCCUCCCAACAGGCAAAGCAAGGGGCCUCCACCCUGUGCCCUCGGACCUUAAGGGGCCCUGGCUGUAGGAGACCAGACACCAACUACACCUGGGGAGAAGGAGACAGGGCACCCAGAGCCUUCUUCCUGGCCCUGACCGCGUGGCCAGCCGAGGCUGUAAGGGGCAUUGCCCCAGGCUGCCGUUGCAGGUGAAGGAGCCAUGUGGGUAGAGUGGCUGAUGGGGGCCUUGCACACAGGAGGCACUCAGAGGCCCUGGGCCACCUCGUUCAGUCUGUGCCUUCAGGGAGCCCAGAGGCCUGGGAGGAUCAGUGCCACCCAGCGGCAGGGAUGGUUGGUGCCAGCAGGCUGUGAUACUGGAGUGCUCCAGUGUGACGGACAGAGGGUAUGGCAUACCCUCAUGAGUCUCCACUCUGAGUCCCCUGUCAGGGCCUACCCUCCCCAGCCCAGGAAGGAAUGCCCUCGUCUGCCCAGCCUGGAAGGUGCCCUGGACACCUGGACCUAGGCACGGGGAGGAGGCCAGUGGCCCUGGGUGGUUGCUGGUUGGCAUGUUGGGGAGAGUUUCUGUCCAGAACUUCCGUGCCCACAGUGGCCCUGCCUUGACAGCCUGGGCGGCAGAGUGAGACCUUGUCUCAAAAUAAUAAUAAUAAUAAUAAUUGAUACAAUUAAACAUUGUGGCCGGGCACGGUGGCUCACGCCUAUAAUCCCAGCACUUUGGGAGGCCAAGACAGGUGGAUCACGAGGUCAGGAGAUCGAGACCAUCCUGGCUAACACGGUGAAACCCCGUCUCUGCUGGAGUGGCCAGGACAGCUUGCUGUGACCAAGAGCUGGAUCCUCUCAGGUUUGCCUGUGAACACACACUGUACACUUGUGGCUGGGCCACAGCGCGGGGGCUUCAUGCUGUGGAUCUUCUUGGGGGUCCAGGAAGGACAGGGGAGAAGCUGCCCCUGGGCCCCAGGCCAGCACUCCCACCCCAUGUGACCAGAGCAACACCCCUUCUCCAGGGUGCACGGGGCCCUCUGAGAUUUCGCUGGAACCAGGAGUUCAGAUGCUUCCACUAACCGUGACCUUAGUGGGGCUCCCCAGGUGCUGGCUUUUGCCCACACUGGGACAGGACCAGUGAGCACCUGUAGAUAAGAGGUCCCUGAAGACAUAGCUGUCCCCUAUCCCCUGGCCUGGGGGAGGCAUGAUCUCCGCCCCCGGGACUCUCUGGAGCGCAGGAGGAGCUCACCGAGGAGCCCAGACUGGCUGGGAGAGUGUCCGUGCAGAGGCAUUUCACGUCCAACAGGAAAAAGGCCAAGAGGCCCGGCGGGGAGCCCAGAUAAACCAUCAGCAGGAUGUGAUCUGUCCAUACAAUGCAACGGUAUUGGUCCAUACACAGGACCGACGCCCUGACCACACGGUAACACGGAUGACACAUGCUACAACAUGGAUGACACAUGCAAAUACCAUGCUCAGUGGAAGACAUAAAAGGCCAGAGUGUGUGAUUCCACUUGUAUGAAAUGUCUGGAACAGACAAAUCCACGGGACAGAGGACAGGUAGAGGGCCACAGCCAGGGGAGGGGCACGUGGGGGCAAUGCAGAAGGGGCACAGGGCAUCUUCCUGAGGGGAGGAAACUGUCCUGAAUUAGCUAGAGGUGAUGGCUGCCCACCCUGGUGAAGAUGCUGAAACACUAAGCCAUACCCUUUGAAGUGGUGAACCUCAUGGCCUGUGAUUUAUAUCUCAAUAAAGUUGUUAAAAACAGUAAUCAA